rnacentral:rRNA from 1 species
GAUGAACGCUGGCGGCAUGCCUAAUACAUGCAAGUCGAGCGAACACAUGAAGUGCUUGCUCUUCUGACGUUACCGGCGAACGGGUGAGUAACACGUAAGUAAUCUACCUAUAAGCAUGAGAUAACAUUCGGAAACCGGUGCUAAUACCGCAUAAUAUCUUCUUCCGCAUGGAACAAGAGUGAAAGACGGCUCUGCUGUCACUUAUAGAUGACCUUGCGUUGCAUUAGUUAGUUGGUGGGGUAACGGCCUACCAAGGCGAUGAUGCGUAGCCGACCUGAGAGGGUGACCGGCCACACUGGAACUGAGACACGGCCCAGACUCCUACGGGAGGCAGCAGUAGGGAAUCUUCCACAAUGGGCGAAAGCCUGACGGAGCAAUGCCGCGUGAGUGAAGAAGGCCUUCGGGUCGUAAAACUCUGUUAUAAGAGAAGAACAAAUAGUAGAGUAACUGCUACCGUCUUGACGGUACCUUAUGAGAAAGCAACGGCUAACUACGUG